rnacentral:tRNA from 1 species
GAAGUCGUGGCCGAGUGGUUAAGGCGAUGGACUCGAAAUCCAUUGGGGUGUCCCCGCACAGGUUCGAAUCCUGUCGGCUGCG